AGCAGCCGCGGUAAUUCCGGCUCCAAUAGCGUAUAUUAAAGUUGCUGCAGUUAAAAAGCUCGUAGUUGAAUUUCGGGACUAAUAUGUCGGUCGUGCCUCGGUACGUACUGGCUUAUUGGUUUCUCCUUUCUGAAGAACCAUGAUGUCAUUUAUUUGGUGUCGUGGGGAAUCAGGACUGUUACUUUGAAAAAAUUAGAGUGUUUAAAGCAGGCUCACGCUUGAAUACAUUAGCAUGGAAUAAUGAAAUAGGACAUUUGAUUCUAUUUUGUUGGUUUCUAGGAUCGACGUAAUGAUUAAUAGGGAUAGUUGGGGGCAUUAGUAUUCAAUUGUCAGAGGUGAAAUUCUUGGAUUUAUUGAAGACUAACUACUGCGAAAGCAUUUGCCAAGGAUGUUUUCAUUAAUCAAGAACAAAAGUUAGGGGAUCGAAGACGAUCAGAUACCGUCGUAGUCUUAACCAUAAACUAUGCCGACUAGGGAUCGGAUGAUGUUAAUUUUUUAAUGACUCA
rnacentral:rRNA from 1 species